AGCAGCAGUGAGGAAAGCAGCUGCUCCAAGAUACACAGCCCCCUUUUUUUUUUUCUCUCUCUCUUUUGGCUGGUUUUAGCAGCAGAGCGUUCCCAUGUGAUGGACAUGUGAGCAACGGCUCUGCUGGGGGCAUCUCGCUGGGCUGGCGGCCGAAGCUGCUGUCUUCUGUCUGUGUGUCCACAACUUCGCAGCUUUUCCUCCUCCCCUCUGUCAGGUUUUUAGUCUUGUGGUCUCCCUGAAGCAGAUUCGGUCGUUGUGUUGUUAAAGAAUGGUGCCCGGGGGAUGAAUUGUAGCAUGCCCCCUCUCCUGACAAGGAGGGUAUACAGUAAACCCAGUGGUUUUAAUGAUAUAUGUCACUUUCUUAAACUGAAACAACAAAUAAAUACGAUUUUGACUCUGUUUAGAAGCUCCUCUUGGUGGUCUGCCCAGGGGAAAUGGUGGGGUCACACUGAAUGUAGUGCCACACUGCUUCCUGGUUCUCCACUUGUUGCAGAGGCUGCCAGAGCUGAGAGCAGCUGCAGGCUUCAGCUGAGGGCUCUCCCUGCUGCCUCCUGAAGCUCCUGGGCUGGAGGAGCUGUGUGCCUCUGGAUGUCACUGCCCGAGGCCACAGGAAGACCACAGGAAGACCCCGGUCUGGGAGAGUUCACUUCUCACUGCAAAAUUUCCUCCUCAUCUCAGGCGUUAUGGCAUAGAGUUUCUUCUUGCAGAGGCGCCAGUUUUGCAAACAAGCACUAUCCUCACUGCAGUGAAAUUAAUAGGGCGUCUGGGGCAAAGGUAAAACUGAAAUACAUAAGUAAAUGUUUGCAGGAUCAGGACCUUAUUCAGGCAUAAAUCAGGUAUCACCAGCCAACAAUGGAAUUACCUAAGUAUAAAAUCCCAUGUAAGCCAGUAAGAUCAGCUCCAAACCUGCUAUGAAUUUGCUUUUUGUUUCCAUGCCAAGAAUAUAUCACUUCUAACUGCUGCAAUCAGGUCUGGUCCUUUUUAUUUUCUUUUAAGUGCUUUUGGGCACAUUUAUUUCCCGUCAGCAGCAGAUACGCACCGCCUGACCCUCCUUUCCUUGGGCAUGUCCCAGCCUGCUUCGCCCACGCUGAGCUGUCGCUAUCAGGAGGGGUUUUUCUUUCCUUGUCUAUUCUGUUGCUGCAUUCCGUAAACAAAGGGACACUGGUGACGAUCCCAAACUGUUCUUUUUUAUUUGCCUGGGAACGGAGUCAACUAUUUGUUGGGCUUUUGUUGCCAUUUUUUUUUCUUUUCUUUUUAAACUGGUGACCGGUUUAACGUCUCGCCCAUACCUGUGCCAUUGCAGCACUGUGAUGCGGCAGGGCUUGUGAGCAGCUGGCACUGGGCAGGAGGAGGAAGCAGACAAGGCAGCGAGCUGCAGAAUGCAAUGUUUGGAUACCACUGGAGAGGCGCUCGGGCUCUGGUAGCAUUUGUUUCCACCCACCUUCUCCAGUUUGCUCCAUGAAAGCCAUCGGCUGCCUCGCACAGACCCGGAGCUCCUUCUGCAUGGAGCUGUGGGACAGUGAUGGGAGGAGGAGGAGGAGGAGCAGGAGCUGGAGCUGGAGCUGGAGCUGGAGCUGGAGCUGGAGCGAGGCUGCUCCCCAGGAGCCUCAGGAGUCGCUUGGGGCUGAAGAGCGAGGAGAAGCUCGUUUGUUAUGCAAAUAUCUGCUUCGGCCUGGCCUGGCAUAGGCAGUGGAAAGCUCUUGAAUUAUUUUAAGCAGAGGACAAAAGUUCUUUCCCUCCCCCUAUCAUCUUGGAUCCUUAUUAAAACAAAACAAAACAGAAACCUCUGUGUGAACCAUCUGA
rnacentral:lncRNA from 1 species